rnacentral:rRNA from 1 species
GAUGAACGCUGGCGGCGUGCUUAACACAUUCAAGUCGAACGGACAGGCUCCCUCUUGCUCGGGUACUCGAAUGGCGAACGGGUGAGUAACACGUGGGUGAUCUGCACUUCACUUCGGGAUAAGCCUUGGAAAAUGGGUCUAAUACCGGAUAGGACAAUGGUUUGGAUGACAUUGUGGACAGGUUUUCGGGGGGGGAUGAGCUAGCGGCCUAUCAGCUGGUGGGUGGGGUAAUGGACUACGAAGGCGUCGACGGGUAGCCGGCCUGGGAGGGUGUACGGCCACAUUGGGACUGAGAUACGGCCCAGACGCCUACGGGAGGCAGCAGGGGGGAGUAGUGCAGAAUGGGCGCGAGCGUGAUGCAGCGACGCCGCGUGGGGGAGGACGGCCUUCGGGUUGUAAGCUCCUUUCGCUAGGGACGAAGCGCAAGUGACGGCACCUAGAGAAGGAGAAGCGGCUAACUACGU